GCAUGUGGGAUCUUCCCGGACCAGGGCUCGAACCCGUGUCCCCUGCAUUGGCAGGUGGAUUCUUAAUUACUGUGCCACCAGUUAAGGAAGUCCCUUAACUUUUAACUUAAAAGAAUUAUUUAGUCUUUCUUAACCUGACAUUGAAUAAAAGGAAUAAGCUUUAUUCUUAUUCUUUUUAUGUAUAAAGCACAGGUAGACAUAUAGUACAUAAGGUAUACAGUAUAUCUGUGGUAUUAAAUUUCAUGGAGAAGGGACAAUUAGGAAAAAAAUAGCUAAACAGGCUCCUAUGAGAUGGUAAUUAUGACAAAAAGGUUGAGCAACAGGAACACAGGUGUAGGUGUAUCUCCUAAUAGGAUGGUGAUUAGUCCAGAACCUUGGUGUGGUGAUAUCUAGAGUGGAUGGAAAUGACCCUCCUGGUUGUAGAUGUACCAGCUUACAGCUAGAAGGUCCCAUGGUAUUUCCCUUCACCUGGAAAUAGGAUGGAAGGGAUAGGAGGGAAGUGCAGAACAGGGUAGGUUAGACAACACACAUAUGUAGAAGAAAUAGUCCUUGUUCUUACAGUUCUUAGAGUCUAGUUGGAGAGAUAAGACAGAAACAUGGAAAGUUCAUUCAUUUAGUAAGAAUUAAAUGUAAAUUCAAGAUAAACAAUAGAAUAUUUGACUUAUUGCAAAAAAAUUCAGUUUAUCUACACUAUUCUGUAUGUUUAUAAUGUCCUUGUUAGUGCAGUGUUUUUAGUGUUCCAUGGUACUUCAUAUGUACAGUGUGUAAUGACAGUCUUAUAUAUCACAGCUUUAGCUAAGAUAUGAAAGGAAGUAAUAUGGGUCCUGCUUUUUGGGGAGUUUGGCUUAUGCCUCUCCAGGUGUUGUGCUGCGGGGCAGCGAUACUAGUAUUGCCAGGUUUGGGGGAACCAAUCAAGGUUGUCAAGUGUGCCUGUGGGAGACCUAGGACUGGAAUUCCAGAAUCCUGAGUUUUGCAGUUUCUUUUGUCUUUCCAGAAAUCUGACAGCCAUUUACAGAGACAGUGGAAUAUGCUUUAAAAAAAAAAAUCUUUUAGAGCAUGUCCAUUGCAAUUCAAAAGAGGAGGGCCUCAGCCUUGCAAAUCACCUGA